rnacentral:lncRNA from 1 species
UGCACUUAAAUAUAUUCCCAAAGUUGAAUUCUGGGGACACAUCACCACCGAUCCCAUACUUCAAAGAUUGGAUGUCAUGAGAACAGUUGGCAAUCAGUUGCUCCACAGCUAUCAUGGCCAAUUCUUGGAUAUUCGCAUUCUUGUCCACUGGAAUGCCCUGAAGAGCUGAGACACAGAGGUUGUAAUCAUCGCCUAUUGUUGCUUCCCUGCAUAUCCUUUCGAAGGAUACUUCCUCUAGGAAUGCAUGCGAAAGGAUUGGAAGGAAGGAGAUAAGAAGGAGAG